rnacentral:rRNA from 1 species
UACGGGGGGAGCAAGCGUUGUUCGGAUUUACUGGGCGUAAAGGGCGCGUAGGCGGCCACCGCAAGUCGACUGUGAAAUCUCCGGGCUUAACUCGGAAAGGUCAGCCGAUACUGCGGGGCUAGAGUGCAGAAGGGGCAACUGGAAUUCUCGGUGUAGCGGUGAAAUGCGUAGAUAUCGAGAGGAACACCAGUGGCGAAGGCGACUACCUGGCCUGUUCUUGACGCUGAGGCGCGAAAGCUAGGGGAGCAAACGGG